rnacentral:rRNA from 1 species
UUUAACUGACGCUGAGGCACGAAAGCGUGGGUAGCAAACAGGAUUAGAUACCCUGGUAGUCCACGCUGUAAACGAUGAUUACUAGGUGUGGGGGGACUGACCCCUUCCGUGCCGGAGUUAACACAAUAAGUAAUCCACCUGGGGAGUACGGCCGCAAGGUUGAAACUCAAAGGAAUUGACGGGGGCCCGCACAAGCAGUGGAGUAUGUGGUUUAAUUCGAAGCAACGCGAAGAACCUUACCAGGUCUUGACAUCCAACUAACGAAGUAGAGAUACAUUAGGUGCCUUUCGGGGAAAGUUGAGACAGGUGGUGCAUGGUUGUCGUCAGCUCGUGUCGUGAGAUGUUGGGUUAAGUCCCGCAACGAGCGCAACCCUUGCUAUUAGUUGCUACGCAAGAGCACUCUAAUAGGACUGCCGUUGACAAAACGGAGGAAGGUGGGGACGACGUCAAAUCAUCAUGCCCCUUAUGACCUGGGCUACACACGUACUACAAUGGCCAUCAACAGAGGGAAGCAAAAUAGCGAUAUGGAGCAAACCCCUAAAAAUGGUCUCAGUUCAGAUUGCAGGCUGCAACCCGCCUGCAUGAAGUCGGAAUUGCUAGU